rnacentral:sRNA from 1 species
AAUAAUGUCCAGGCAGGGGCCAGGGGAGCUCGUGCCAAGGCACUGAGGGGAAGUGCUGCAAUGAACCUCAGAGGCUGGAUCUUGCUGACUCAUCUGGGGUACCAAGGACAGGUAAAGUACACGGAGCCCAGGCCCAGGAGGGGACACCAGGCCAGCAGUUUCACUGACGCUCUUGUCAUGAUGACGACUGCCUCCCUCCUCCCCUUGGUCCCUGACUCAGUGUCUGCAGUGACCAGGCACCAGGCAGGGAGCAAGGAACCAAGCCUUUCACCUGCUCCCACCAACUCCUAUGGUACUCCCUUUCCAAGGCUAGGUCUCCUCUCCACCCGGUUCCUUAUCACGUACCGUGAGAAGCUGUCACCUUGGCAACUGUCACCUUCUGGUGAGAUUUACAGUUGCACUGCUACAACUGCUUGUGGCAUGGUAAAGUUGCACCAGGACCUCUGCUGUCCAUGAGAUCAAAGUUCCAGGCCACGGUGAGCACCCGCCUCCAUUC